UGUGAGGUGUGUUAGCUAGUGGCGAACGAGUUAGUAAUACCCUGGUACGUACCUCGAAGUCGGGAAUAAUCCAUCGAAAGGUGGACUAAUACUCGAUAGUCCCGCAAGGGUAAAGUCGCAAGACGCUUUGAGAUCGGCCUAGGCCCGAUCAGCUAGUUGGUGAGGUAAUGGCUCACCAAGGCUAUGACCGGUAGGGGCGCUGAGAGGCGGACCCCCAACGACGCAACUGAGACACGGUGCGUACUCCUACGGGAGGCAGCAGUCGAGAAUAUUCGACAAUGGGCGAAAGCCUGAUCGAGCGACGCCGCGUGCAGGAUGAAGGUCUUAGGAUUGUAAACUGCUUUUCUACGGGAAGAAGGUACGAUAAGUACUGUGACGGUACUGUAGGAAUAAGUGGUUGCAAACUUCGUGCCAGCAGCCGCGGUAAUACGAAGGCCACAAGCGUUAUCCGGAUUUAUUGGGUGUAAAGGGCGCGUAGGUGGUUCGAUGCGUCUUCUGUUAAAUUUCACGGCUCAACCGUGAAGCUGCAGAGGAUACGGUCGGACUUGAGAGCGUUAGAGGCAAAUGGAACUCAUGGUGUAGGGGUGAAAUCCGUUGAUAUCAUGGGGAACACCGAAGGCGAAGGCAAUUUGCUGGGACGUUUCUGACACUGAGGCGCGAAAGCGUGGGGAGCAAAAAGGAUUAGAUACCCUUGUAGUCCACGCCCUAAACGAUGAUCACUAGCUGUCUCGAGUAUCGACCCUCGGGGUGGCGUAGCUAACGCGUUAAGUGAUCCACCUGGGAAGUACGGCCGCAAGGCUAAAACUCAAAGGAAUAGACGGGGACUCGCACAAGCGGUGGAGCAUGUGGUUUAAUUCGACGGUAAACGAGAAACCUUACCAAGACUUGAAAUGUGUACGAAGACCGGCAGAAAUGUUGGUCGUCUUUACUGACGUGCACACAGGUGCUGCAUGGUUGCCGUCAGCUCGUGUCGUGAGACGUUCCCUUAAGUGGGGUAACGAGCGCAACCCUUGCCCUGUGUUAUAUGUGUCACAGGGGACUGCCGUUUUAUAAACGGAGGAAGGCGAGGAUGACGUCAAAUCAGCAUGGCCCUCUGAUGUCUUGGGCUACACACAUGCUACAAUGGUCGGUACAACGGGCUGCCAAACCGUAAGGUGGAGCUAAUCCCAUAAAACCGGCCUCAGUUCAGAUUGAGGGCUGCAACUCGCCCUCAUGAAGUUGGAAUCGCUAGUAAUCGCGGAUCAGAACGCCGCGGUGAAUACGUUCUCGAGUCCUGUACUCACUGCCCGUCACGUCAAGGGAGCUGGUAUUGCCUGAAGUUUCCGCAAGGGGAUCAGGGUACGAUCGGUGACAUGGACGAAGUCGAAACAAGGCA
rnacentral:rRNA from 1 species